UUUCCAAAGGGAUCAUAUGUAAUUUCCUUUUUUCCAAAGUUGAUAUGCAAUUUGAUCACAAGAAAAUGACAAAUAGAAGUUGACGAGCAGACUGCAAGAAGAGGAAAAUUCUAAUUCGGAGGCUAAGCGUUGUUUAAAAGGCAGCACAAUCAAAGCGCAAAUUCAUAUUACAAUCAAAUUUCCACUUUCACUAUUCGGGUUUCUGUUAAAGGAUUCUAAGGGAGAAAAUGAAUUGGAUUCAACGCAAAAUCUAUCUCUACAAUGUCACUUUUGGUCUGUACAUGCUCGACUGGUGGGAACGUUGCCUCUUCAAUAUUUUGGUGCUUGUGUUGUUGUGGUUUAUGUGUUACAACGGGUUUCGUUAUGCUUCCGAGCUUUUCAACAGGCAAAUGUGGUGAAAGGUCAUCAGCUGGGCUAAGCUUUGUUCUUGACCUUAAGUAAGAGAGAUAUGUAUGUAUGCCUCUUUUGGCAUUUAACUUGUAAGCUUGUUGAAAUUGUUUGCUCUUCCAUGGAUAUAGUUGGCUUGGUUGAAACAUGUAUUGCUGUUAUUUUCUGAUUCUUUAAUGAUAGAUGGCAUUUAAUGUAAUAGUUCGAAUGAUCAAGCAGUGAUAGUUUAAGUUUGAAAUUUUCGCUGUUGUGAGGAAUACUUUCAGAUUAGCUUAUCAAUUUGAAGAAAGCAUGUUGCUUCAUUUCUUUUAA